UACGUAGGUGGCAAGCGUUGUCCGGAGUUAUUGGGCGUAAAGCGCGCGCAGGCGGUUGGAUAAGUCCAUGGUGAAAGCGCCUGGCUCAACUAGGCGAGUGCCGUGGGGACUGUUCAGCUGGAGUGGAGCAGAGGCGAGUGGAAUUCCGGGUGUAGUGGUGAAAUGCGUAGAGAUCCGGAGGAACACCAGAGGCGAAGGCGGCUCGCUGGGCUUUGACUGACGCUGAGGCGCGAAAGCGUGGGGAGCGAACAGG
rnacentral:rRNA from 1 species